UUUUGGGCAAUCAGCUGAUGAUGAUCCUAUCUUUCAAGGCACGUUUUUCUUCAGCAGUUUGUGGUUUUUGAGUUUUUUUCUGUGCUUGUAUGGAUAGAUUACUGACCUCUGCUUUUGUGUUGAUGUUGCCAGGGAGCGGAUGAUUUGGAAGAUCCUGUCCUUGCUCGCCACGCCUCGUCUGCCAGCUCCAUUCCUACGACCAAGGCUUCUCCUCAGUCCGGAAACACAGAGCUCAAAGUGCAAGUGCAAGGCCGUGUGUACUCACCAGCUGCUGCGAAUCAUCGUUGAACACAAGGAAGUGCUCCUAGAGGAAAGAAGGAAAGGGAAGGUUUGCUGGGAGUCAGGAGCAGAGCGAGGGAUUUUAAAUGGAGGGCGACGAAGGAGGAUUUUGGUGGAGAGAGGAGCUCGGAAACGACCAAAUCGGGCCUUUUCUGGACAGCACAGGCAGCCGAGCAAGAGAUAAAUAUGGGCGGAGAAAGACGACGGCGAAGACUACCGCAAGCAGCAAGAUCGAGCACGAACAAUCAAGUUGAUGUCCGCUGGCAGGGUCUUGGAUUGAUCGUCGAGAUUGUUCUCGGAAACUGGCACUAGGUACUCACUGAGAGCGAAAAGAAGCGCAAGGUACUCCACAACAGCUCAAGCUUAUGCUAGAAGUUCCGCGUGACAGGCGGAAUUCGCACAGUACUGUUGUGCUGCUGGUCCCGCUUCCAUUCGUCGCUAAGCUGCCAUUUGAUCAAACCCGACUAGCUCAGAGGAAAAGCCAGGGGAUGGGGUCCCGGAGUGGCCUUCUUCCGCUGCUUCGCGAUUUGAUCCAGAGAAGGAGAGGAAGAGGAGAUGGAUAGAGGACGUUGCGACUUGGAAGCUGAGGAAAGAUGACGAUGACGAUGGCGAAAGAGUGGAUUCCCUUUCGCCAAGGCGAGAGGCUACGGAAAAGGAGGAAUCGCGAGUGGAGCUCUAGGUAGAUUAAAAAAAUUCAAUUGCGCGACAUGUCUCGAUCGCUCGGCCAUGACGGAAGCCGUGCCAAAAUACCUGGAAUGUAGCCAGUUUUUGGAAA